CGCUGAAGGCGGAAAUGAAGCAUGAUCUGGCUUGCAUCUGGUCAUGAAGAAAUUGCUGACACGUUAGUUGCAGUCCACCUCCACCAACAGGGUGGAAAACAAAGAUCGCCAUUCCGAUUAGCUGCUAUCUCCCAGUUCAAGCACUUUUGUGUCUGGACACUGGUUCCUGUGGAUGGGGUGUUACAAGCUUUACUGUCUGAUAUAGAAGAAUUUUCAGUGUCAUCAACGUCCAUUGAGGAAGGUGCCUUUACUAUCUGUGAAUCUUCAACUGAAGAAUAGCCCAGAAUUCAUGUUAACAUUCUCUACUCUUAUUAAUUCACUGUCUGUUUUCUGAGAGCUAAGAAAAAUGGAAACUAUUUAUUUGUCACAACUUCACACUGGAUACUGGUCUGGUACUGGCUUGACAUGUAAGCUAAAAUACCUGGAUUCUACAAUAAUUGUGUUCAACUUGGUGCAUUACCGUGGGCAAUGCCACAUUCACUACAUUUUUAGUGGGUCCGGUGCGCAAAUACUGUGUGCAUACUGCAUACAUACAUACUGUUCGAUAGGCAAAAAUACCUGAGCAGUGCUGUGUAGUCUUUUUACCCAAAGUCCAUACUCUUACUGCAAAGUCACAGUACGUAGAACAGCAAUAUGUAUCAAGUAUGCUGCGUAUGCAAUGCAGGUAUGCUGCGAUAGA